rnacentral:rRNA from 1 species
UACGUAGGGGGCUAGCGUUGUCCGGAAUCAUUGGGCGUAAAGCGCGCGUAGGCGGCCCGGUAAGUCCGUUGUGAAAGUCCAAGGCUCAACCUUUGAACGCCGAUGGAUACUGCCGGGCUAGAGUCCGGAAGAGGCGAGUGGAAUUCCUGGUGUAGCGGUGGAAUGCGCAGAUAUCAGGAGGAACACCAAUAGCGAAGGCAGCUCGCUGGGACGGUACUGACGCUGAGGCGCGAAAGCGUGGGGAGCGAGCAGG